GACAGAGGGGGCAAGCGUUGUUCGGAAUUACUGGGCGUAAAGGGCUCGUAGGCGGCCAACUAAGUCACACGUGAAAUCCCUCGGCUCAACCGGGGAACUGCGUGUGAGACUGGAUGGCUUGAGUUUGGGAGAGGAAUGCGGAAUUCCAGGUGUAGCGGUGAAAUGCGUAGAUAUCUGGAGGAACACCGGUGGCGAAGGCGGCAUUCUGGACCAACACUGACGCUGAGGAGCGAAAGCCAGGGGAGCAAACGGG
rnacentral:rRNA from 1 species